AGCGUGAACUCGGCCUGGGCGAUGGUGGGUCAAAAACCCUUGGCCUUUUGUAUUGACGGGGGAUCGCGCGGGGGCAGGACGCGGCCAAAACCAAACAAACCCGGGAGCUCCGGGCCAGAGCCAACUUUUGCACGUCCUGGAUGAGCACGGCCUCCCGCCCCCGGACCCCGGCCCGGCGCUCAGGGAGGCUGCCUGCUUGCCAGGGCUGGUCCCGAGUCUCCAGGACCAAAAGGGAUCCUCCGCCCCAAGGGCAGCCACUUCCAGCGGGCCGUGGGCCUCGACGGGGGCUGCAGGGACAAACAUUCUCGAGAAGUGUUGUGGCCCGGUAGUGACAGAUUUCGCUCCACUUUUCACAGCCGGUGGUUUUUGUUAUUAGAGAUGCAACUCUAUUUUUUAAACUGUCAUUGAUGCCAGAGAUAGGCGACUAGACUCCUUUACUGGAUUGCCCGCAAUGGAAGAAGCAGCUCCACGCUGGAUGUGGUGGAAGAGUCUGGACAGAAUUGACUGGAAGCCUGGAAUCACCAGAAAAUAACUCAAGGCACAGCUCAGUUGUGACUAGCAAAAGUUUGAGGCUUGGUGGCUCAGCAUCCUGUGCACCAUAACCGUUACCUCCUAUGAGGAAGAGGAGGUACUACUUUCCCACUCAGAGCCAAUUCACUGGAGGGGAAGACCAACUUCCAACCUACCACCCCCAACCUCAGAGGGUAAGACUCGCUGUGGGGAACUGAAGAGUGGUCUCCCUAAUUCCAGAUGAGAUGCCUGUUGUGAAUGGUGAAUGAUCUAGAUCUCCAGUUAUAAAUAUGAGCAGAUAAAAAAUAUCACUAGUCAUAAAGAGAGAAUCCACCAUUUGAAAGAAGAGGACCAAAUUAGAGCAGAUAUCACUUAAUAAAAUGGAGUUAAUGAAGGAAAUAGGAGAAAACUUUUUAAAAAUUUCUUGUUCAUGUUCUAAGUGAAAUUUAAAGAGUGAUAAGGGCAAGUUGUCAUGAAAAUGGAGGCAUCUGAGAACCAAAAUGUCCUGGGAAAUUAGAAGAUACAUGAAUACUUAAGCUGAAAAGACAGUUAAUAGAAAAAUAGAUACUACUAAAAACUGAAUUAAUGAAUUAUAAGACCAUCUCAAAGAGUGCUUCCAGAGCAAAAAGAUAAAUAAAUAGAAACUAUGAAAGAGAAGAUAAAAGAUAUUUAAAAAUAGGUCCAGGAGAUCCCAUGUUUGUAUUUUGGAAGUUUUAGAAGCAAAAUGGAGUAGGUAUUGUAUAUUAAUAUAAUUGUAAUAUACAGUUUCUAUUUUGUAGUAUACAUAUUUUUUGUAUUAUACAAAAAAAGAUAUUUGUUUACUACAAUGCAUCAUUAAAAGAAAUUAAAGAAGACCUAAUUAAAUGGAAACACAUUGUAUGCUGUUGGAGUUGAAGACUUAACAUUGUUCAGAUGGCAGUACUCCCCAAAUUGAUCUAUAGAUUCAAUAUAAUCCCUAUCAAAAUUCUAGCUUCUUUUUUUCCCCAGAAAUUGACAAUCUGAACCUAUAAUUCUAUGGAAAUGCAAGAGACUCAGAAUAGCCAAAGCAACCUUUAAAAAAAAAGAAGAAAGUCAGAAGACUACACUUCCCAAUGUCAAACCUCAUUACAAAGCUACAGUAAUCAAGGCAGUGCAGUAUUGGCAUAAGGAUAGACAUAUAGAUAAUGGAAUAGAAUUAAGAGUCCAGAAAUAAACCCAUGCAUCUAUGGUCAGUUAAUUUUCAGCAAGAAUGUCAAAAUAAUACAGUGGGGAAAGAAUAAUCUUUUCAGCAAAUGAUAUUGAGAUAACUGGAUAUCCACAUGCAAAAGAAUGAAUUUGGACAUCCACCUUACAGCAGAUACAAAACUUAACUCAAAAUAGGUCUUAGGUAUAAGGUAAGAGUUGAAACUAUAAAAAUUCUUUUUAUAGAGUUCUUUGACAUUGGGUUAAGCAAUGGUUUCUUAACAUGACACCAAAAGCAACAAAGGAGAAACUAGAUAAAUUGAUUCACAAAGUUAAAAACUUUUGUGCAUCAAAGGACAAUAUCAAGAAAGUGAAAAGACAAACCACAGUAUGGGAGA